rnacentral:rRNA from 1 species
UACGUAGGGGGCAAGCGUUGUCCGGAUUUAUUGGGCGUAAAGAGCGUGUAGGCGGCUAGAUAGGUCCGUUGUGAAAACUCGAGGCUCAACCUCGAGACGUCGAUGGAAACCGUCUGGCUAGAGUCCGGAAGAGGAGAGUGGAAUUCCUGGUGUAGCGGUGAAAUGCGCAGAUAUCAGGAAGAACACCCGUGGCUAAGGCGGCUCUCUAGUACGGUACUGACGCUGAGACGCGAAAGCGUGGGGAGCGAACAGG